AUUGAACGCUGGCGGCAGGCCUAACACAUGCAAGUCGAGCGGAUGAAGGGAGCUUGCUCCUGGAUUCAGCGGCGGACGGGUGAGUAAUGCCUAUGAAUCUGCCUGGUAGUGGGGUAUAACGUCCGUAAACGGGCGCUAAUACCGCAUCCGUCCUUAGGUAGAACGUGGGGUUUCUUCGGACCUCUCGCUUUCAUAUGAUCCUAGGUCGGAUUAGCUAGUUGGUGGGGUAAAGGCCUACCAAGGCGACGAUCCGUAAAUGGUCGGAGAGGAUGAUCAGUCACACUGGAACUGAGACACGGUCCAGAAUACUAAGGGAGGGAGCAGUGGGGAAUAUUGGACAAUGGGCGAAAGCAUGAUACAGCAAAGCCGCGUGUGUGAAGAAGGUCUUCGGAUUGUAAAGCAAUUUAAGUUGGGAGGAAGGGAAGUAAGUUAAUACCUUGCUGUUUUGACGUUACCAACAGAAUAAGCACCGGCUAACUUCGUG
rnacentral:rRNA from 1 species